rnacentral:rRNA from 1 species
GAUGAACGCUAGCGGGAGGCCUAACACAUGCAAGCCGAGCGGUAGAGUUCCUUCGGGAACUUGAGAGCGGCGUACGGGUGCGUAACACGUGUGCAACCUACCUUUAUCUGGGGGAUAGCCUUUCGAAAGGAAGAUUAAUACCCCAUAAUAUAAUGAUUGGCAUCAAUUAUUAUUGAAAACUCCGGUGGAUAGAGAUGGGCACGCGCAAGAUUAGAUAGUUGGUGAGGUAACGGCUCACCAAGUCAAUGAUCUUUAGGGGUCCUGAGAGGGAGAUCCCCCACACUGGUACUGAGACACGGAUCAGACUCCUACGGGAGGCAGCAGUGAGGAAUAUUGGACAAUGGGUGAAAGCCUGAUCCAGCCAUCCCGCGUGAAGGAUGACGGUCCUAUGGAUUGUAAACUUCUUUUGUACAGGGAUAAACCUACUCUCGUGAGGGUAGCUGAAGGUACUGUACGAAUAAGCACCGGCUAACUCCGUG